rnacentral:rRNA from 1 species
AUUGAACGCUGGCGGCAGGCCUAACACAUGCAAGUCGAACGCGUGGCGGACGGGUGAGUAAUGUCUGGGACACUGCCUGAUGGCGGGGGAUAACUACUGGAAACGGUAGCUAAUCCCGCAUACCAUCAGAUGUGCCCAGAUGGGAUUGGCUAGUGGGUGGGGUAACGGAUCACCAAGGCGCCGAUCCCUAGCUGGUAUGAGAGGGUGACCAGCCACACUGGAACGGAGACACGGGCCAGACUCCUACGGGAGGCAGCAGUGGGGAAUAUUGCCCAAUGGGCGAAAGCCUGAUGCAGCCAUGCCGCGUGUAUGAAGAAGGCCUUCGGGUUGUAAAGUACUUUCAUCAGGGAGGCGUUACCCGCAGAAGAAGCACCGGCUAACUCCGUGCCAGCCGCCGCGGUAAUUC